UACGGCCAUAUCACGUUGAAACACCGCUUCCCGUACGAUCACCGAUGUUAAGUAACGUCUAACCUGGUUAGUCCCUCGAUGGGUGACUGCUUAGGAGUAUUAGAUGCUAUA